rnacentral:lncRNA from 1 species
GAGGAGUGAUAGCCAUGCACUUCGGUGGAAUGGCUGAGGGAAGACGUCCCGAGUCGGCGCUGAGUUGUCAGGCUGUUUUGCUGCCCAGUGGGAUUUCAGACCAAAGCACAGAAGUCUCAGCAUUUCCUCUAAUAGCAGAGUUUCUCAGGAGUGAGCACUCGUUCAGGCACGUUCAAGAUGGUGAUGGUUAGCCCAGCUCUGUGUUCGAGAGAGGGCAGCAGUGCAUCCCUCGGGAUUACCCGUAUUUCUGCUCACCGCCACCUUCCCUAGCCUGGUUGCCUCUUCAGCCCUUGCCACCCCUUGUCCAAGGUGCUUCAAAGGCCCCUGUAUUUGAUGGCUCUGACUAACCCUUUCCCACGAAACAUGCCAGGCAGGUACUCGGUGCCCGUUGCCCAUGCUCUUUUUCCUUUGCCCCCUCAUAGAGGACUGUGAAUCCUCUCCAGCCUUGUGCUGUCCUGGUUGACCUCAGGGCCUCUGCUAUCAGUGCCAGCGGUAGAGUGCUAGGCCACCUGGGGCUCCGGCGUCUGUGGGGCCAGCGGUAGCCCCAGCCACCGGAGCAGACGAUGCCGUAUUCCCUGCGUGGCGUUGGAGCAGCUGCUUGUGGAGAUGGGGUGGGGAGCUGCUGCAGCUCCUUGCAAGGAGGCUGUGCUGAGGCCCUGGUGUGUGGCCCCAGCUCCUAGGUUUUGCUGUAGGUCUCCUCUUAGCUCGGAAAGAAACCCCAGCUCCUGUGCCAAGUGAUUAUGUGAUUGCAACAAAUAAAUAUAGGUGUCGUGCUUGCACGUUAACUCCUGUAAAUGAGAAUAAAAUGCGUUCUAGAAGCUCAGAAAGGGGAAAGCAAAUAAGAGCCCAACAUUUUAUUAUUUUCUUUGUUCUCCAGUACUCAUGUGCUUUGAGGGCCUGAGUCAGGAUUUUGGAAUACCUGAAGGAGGACAGUGGUGGUGCAAACAGCAUCACCCAUGGCUACCUUACUGGUUUUCUGACCUUCGGUAUCAAGGCUGGAGCACGACGGAUGCAGGCAAGACAGCAAGACUAAAAUCAUUCUAUGCUCACCAUCAGGUCCUUCGGAUGUUGGCAGGACUCGGCACAUGGUCACAAAUGUCUUAGCAGUGAUGGCUGGAGGGUCGAAACCCCAGUGUGGGGCAGCAGAAUCAGACCUCUCGGUGCUGGACCCAGAGCUCACUAACAGCAGCAGAUGUGCUUGCAUGGAUGGUGCUUUGACACAGCCUCAGCAGAGGUAACGUGGGAGUCGAGGGCAAACGUUGCAAAUGCCCGUGUGGAAUAGCAUUGGUCUCACUCUGUAUUUAUGUCACAGGCUUGGUAUUCAAACUGCUUCCUAGAGUAAUGGACUCUGCUGAAAUAAUUUAUUCUUAAUGCCAGUAGUGUGCGUGUGUCUUUCUGCCUUUUAUUCACAAAUAAAAGCUUUAUGGAAUGCUUUCUUACA